AGGACGAACGCUGGCGGCGUGCUUAACACAUGCAAGUCGAGCGGUAAGGCCUUUCGGGGUACACGAGCGGCGAACGGGUGAGUAACACGUGGGUGAUCUGCCCUGCACUUCGGGAUAAGCCUGGGAAACUGGGUCUAAUACCGGAUAUGACCUCAGGUUGCAUGACUUGGGGUGGAAAGAUUUAUCGGUGCAGGAUGGGCCCGCGGCCUAUCAGCUUGUUGGUGGGUAAUGGCCUACCAAGGCGACGACGGGUAGCCGACCUGAGAGGGUGACCGGCCACACUGGGACUGAGACACGGCCCAGACUCCUACGGGAGGCAGCAGUGGGGAAUAUUGCACAAUGGGCGAAAGCCUGAUGCAGCGACGCCGCGUGAGGAUGACGGCCUCGGGUUGUAAACCUCUUCAGCGAGGACGAAGCGCAAGUGACGGUACCUGACAGAAGAAGACACCGGACUAACUACGUGCCAGCACGCCGAC
rnacentral:rRNA from 1 species